UACGUAGGGGGCAAGCGUUGUCCGGAUUUAUUGGGCGUAAAGAGCGUGUAGGCGGUCAGGUAGGUCCGUUGUGAAAACUCGAGGCUCAACCUCGAGACGCCGAUGGAAACCAUCUGACUAGAGUCCGGGAGAGGAGAGUGGAAUUCCUGGUGUAGCGGUGAAAUGCGCAGAUAUCAGGAAGAACACCCGUGGCUAAGGCGGCUCUCUAGUACGGUACUGACGCUGAGACGCGAAAGCGUGGGGAGCGAACAGG
rnacentral:rRNA from 1 species